GUCUCCGAUGACGAUGUAUUUUUUAAUACUUUCGUUCUUCUGAAGUCCAGUGUGGAAGAACAAUUUGGAGACCUGAACUGAGGGGUU
rnacentral:snoRNA from 1 species